rnacentral:tRNA from 1 species
GUUCUUGUAGUUAAGUAAUAACGGUGGUUUUUCAAGCCAUUAGCCUAGGUUAGAGUCCUAGUGAGAAUU